rnacentral:rRNA from 1 species
GCUUUUUGUUUUUUAAAAGUUUGUUCUGCUCGGUGUUGAUAAACAGCCGCGGUAAUUUGACCGUGCAAAGGUAGCAUAAUCAUUUGCCUUAUAAUUGGGGGCUGGAAUGAAUGAAUAMACAAAAGUUUUUCUUUAUUUUUAUAGGUUAAAUAAUUUUCUUUUUUGGUGAAGAAGCCGGAAUAAAAAAAGGGACAAGAAGACCCUUUUGAGCUUUAUUUAUWGUUUUUUAAAUUUAAKUAAAUUUGGUUGGGGCGACCUAGGAAUAUCUUCCUUUAUAAUAAUGAUCCKCAWAUAGCGAUWAAAAGAMUAAGUUACCAAAGGGAUAACAGCGUAAUUUUUUUUUAGAGUUCUUAUUAAAAGAAAAGAUUGCGACCUCGAUGUUGACUUAUAAUUUCCUUUUGGUGUAGCCGCUGUUAGGGUGGGUCUGUUCGACCUUUAAAAUUUU